GAUGAACGCUGGCGGCGUGCCUAAUACAUGCAAGUCGAGCGAACAGACGAGGAGCUUGCUCCUCUGACGUUAGCGGCGGAAGGGUGAGUAAAACGUGGAUAACCUACCUAUAAGACUGGGAUAACUUCGGGAAACCGGAGCUAAUACCGGAUAAUAUAUUGAACCGCAUGGUUCAAUAGUGAAAGACGGUUUUGAUGUCACUUAUAGAUGGAUCCGCGCCGCAUUAGCUAGUUGGUAAGGUAACGGCUUACCAAGGCAACGAUGCGUAGCCGACCUGAGAGGGUGAUCGGCCACACUGGAACUGAGACACGGUCCAGACUCCUACGGGAGGCAGCAGUAGGGAAUCUUCCGCAAUGGGCGAAAGCCUGACGGAGCAACGCCGCGUGAGUGAUGAAGGUCUUCGGAUCGUAAAACUCUGUUAUUAGGGAAGAACAAAUGUGUAAGUAACUAUGCACGUCUUGACGGUACCUAAUCAGAAAGCCACGGCUAACUACGUG
rnacentral:rRNA from 1 species